rnacentral:lncRNA from 1 species
GUGGGUAUUUGCUCAGCUCCCAUGAUCCCAUCCAGAUGUGAGGAGCACAGUUGGCUAAUUAAGCUGAAAGCAGCAUUAAGAAUCCCAGGGAAGAAAUCAAGACAUCUGUUCCCCUCAGAUCCUCACUUGGUUCCUUUGUGUUGCUACUUGGAUGUUUACAGAUACUGAUGACCAUCCCUAGAAUUCAUAUUGAGAAUUUCCGUGCCACAUUAACUUCCAGAUGUCCUUGGGAAAAGUGUCUACUAUGCUGCCUUGGUUUCCUCAAUGAGAGUGAGAACAAAUGGAUCUGAAGAGGUGAUCUUGGCCCUAAUUUCCAAGUUCUGGGAAGAUAAACAGGGUUUUCUUUUGAAUCCUUCGGAGCCUGGGAGCUUCAAGAGAAACUCAACUCCAGGCACUUGAACUGACAGAGAAUUUAGAUUCUCCUCCAGGGAAAGGGGCAGAGCAUGGAUCCUGGCUUUGAGCCGCCUCCCAGCUUUUCUGUUGUCCUUGAGGCUGCUACGUUAACACUGUCCUUGCUUUGUGUGGUUUUGCUGUUACUACCUGUCCUGUGGAUUUCUGACAAUUACAAGCCGUGUACCCCACCACACAUGCAAGCAUUUCUCAUUUAUUCUGAGUACUUUAAGGACUGCCCAAUCUGAAUGCAGAGAACUAUGUCUCAUUCAUUUUUGUGUGUCCAGGCCCUCACAGGGUUUGGGGAUCCUGAUAUAGGGUUGGAUUCGGUGACCUCUCAAAUCCUCUUCAGCACUUUCAUGCACAGAAGCCAGCAUCCUCUGGACUGUCAUUAUCCAGUUUUAUUAAAGCAGGUUACAAUAUAAAAGAACCCAUCAUCAGCCAUCAUCACUGAUCUUGGAUAGCUUGCCCUUGGCUGGUGGCCUAAGGAUUCCUUUCUUUUUUUACCUAUCAAAAUCAUUCUUGUACAUAAGCUGUCCCCCUCCCUGCAAAGUAUUCCUUGACUAUCAUAGACAAAAUAUGUCACUCCCUUCCCUCUUCCCAUGAUCUUUGCUUUACAUUCAAAUGUCACCAUUUUAUGGAUCCAUUUGUUUUCUUUAUCGGAUUGUAAAUUCCUUGAGGGUGGAGACUGGAUCUAAUUCAACAUGGUAUCCCAUGGUUCCUUGCCAUGGGAUAUAGUGAAAAUGCAGCAAGUGUGGGACUUGGUGAACAGCGGAUAGUUCACUUGCUGCAGAGGAUGGGUUUUUCUUUCUCUACCCAUGCCCUUUGACUUUGAGUUUGGCCAUUGGACUUGCUUUGGCCAAUGGGAUGCUCACAGACACCAUGCAAGUAGAGGCUUAGAACAUGUGUAUGAACUUGACUUGCCCUCUGUGCUGUUAGGUCUCCUGACCUAAGGAGGAGGAUGAGAAACACAUGGACCAGACCUGCCCCAGCCAAUCCGCAAGCCUGUGAGUGACAAAUAAAUGCAUAUUAUUGGAUGUCACUGAUAUUUGGAGGUUGUUUGUUUGUUAAUGCAGCAACUGUUGCUUAAUACAAUUGUUAACUUAAAAUGUAGGCUGAAAAACAUAGGAGGCCUUGUGAUGUUCAUUGUCUUUAUGGGUUGAGGUGGA